UAAAGAAUUUCGGUAUGGGAUGGGGAUGCGUUCCAUUAGUUAGUUGGCGGGGUAACGGCCCACCAAGACAACGAUGGAUAGGGGUUCUGAGAGGAAGGUCCCCCACAUUGGAACUGAGACACGGUCCAAACUCCUACGGGAGGCAGCAGUGAGGAAUAUUGGUCAAUGGACGAGAGUCUGAACCAGCCAAGUAGCGUGAAGGAUGACUGCCCUAUGGGUCGUAAACUUCUUUUAUAUGGGAAUAAAAUGUUCCACGUGUGGGAUUUUGUAUGUACCAUAUGAAUAAGGAUCGGCUAACUCCGUGCCAGCAGCCGCGGUAAUACGGAGGAUCCGAGCGUUAUCCGGAUUUAUUGGGUUUAAAGGGAGCGUAGGUGGAUUGUUAAGUCAGUUGUGAAAGUUUGCGGCUCAACCGUAAAAUUGCAGUUGAAACUGGCAGUCUUGAGUACAGUAGAGGUGGGCGGAAUUCGUGGUGUAGCGGUGAAAUGCUUAGAUAUCACGAAGAACUCCGAUUGCGAAGGCAGCUCACUGGACUGCAACUGACACUGAGGCUCGAAAGUGUGGGUAUCAAACAGGAUUAGAUACCCUGGUAGUCCACACAGUAAACGAUGAAUACUCGCUGUUUGCGAUAUACAGUAAGCGGCCA
rnacentral:rRNA from 1 species